rnacentral:rRNA from 1 species
CCUCAAAUCAGGUGGGACUACCCGCUGAACUUAAGCAUAUCAAUAAGCGGAGGAAAAGAAACUAACUAGGAUUCCCUUAGUAACGGCGAGUGAAGAGGGACUAGCCCAAAUUUGUAAUCUGGCUCUUUCAGAGUCCGAGUUGUAAUCUCGAGAACAGUUUUCCGUGUUGGACCUUGUAUAAGUCUGUUGGAAUAUAGCUUCGUAGAGGGUGAGAAUCCCGUACAUAACAAGGACUACCAAUGCUUUGUGAUACUGUCUCUAAGAGUCGAGUUGUUUGGGAAUGCAGCUCAAAUUGGGUGGUAAAUUCCAUCUAAGGCUAAAUAUUGGCGAGAGACCGAUAGCGAACAAGUACCGUGAGGGAAAGAUGAAAAGCACUUUGGAAAGAGAGUUAACAGUACGUGAAAUUGUUAAAAGGGAAACGAUUGAAGUCAGUCUUGUAGCUUUUCGUUCAACCGCAAGGUGUAUUCGGAUUGCAACAGGCCAGCAUCAAUUUUUGGUGUCGGAUAAGGGUAUUGGAAACGUAGCAAUCUCGGUUGUGUUAUAGUCCUUUACUUGAUACGAUGCUAGGGAUUGAGGAACGCAGUGAGCCUUUUGGCGGGUCUUUGGACCUUCUCACUUUGGAUGCUGGCGUAAU